AUGCGACACUUGGAGCUGUGGGUGAAUUACUACAUUCGAUGGAAUCCCAGAAUCAAGCAACAACCCAAUCCAGUGGAGCAGCGUUACAUGGAGCUCUUGGCCCUGCGUGAUGAUUAUAUAAAGAGGCUCGAGGAAUUGCACCUUGCCAACUCUGCCAAGCUUUCUGACCCUCCUGCUUCUCCUUCCAGUCCCUCACAGCUUACUGGUCUACCAAAUAAGACAUCUCAAUAUAGUAGUGUGAUGUAUGGAUUUUGUAAGUAUAAAAAGUUUAUUAGACAUUCUUUUGCUUUUUGUAAACGCUGUAAAUAUUUCAUAAAUUAAAAGUAUCACUCCACAAAAAGAAAAAAAUGCUAAUACUAAUAGCUCAAAGGAAUUUAUGAAAUUUCAUGAAGACAUUUUCAUGACAAUAAAUAUUAAGGACCUGCUGUAGUAAAUAUAUUAAAUAAAACCUAACACAAUUUCCAAGGAUAUAACUGUGUGUGUUUAAGAUGUGCACAGUGCCCACCUUAUUGCGUAUUUUCUUUUUCUGGAUCUACGUCACAUUUUUUUAAUCAUAGUAGCAACAUUUGUUUUCCUUUUUGUUGUUGUUGUUGUUUAACCUAAAGUCUCAUAUAACCCAGGUUGGCCUCCAACUCACUGUGUCACCAAAGCUGGCUUUGAACUCCAUAUCCUUCCUAUGUCCAUCUCACAGUCAUGCAUUGCCACAACCAGCUUAUUUCCUUUUCAGCUGAUAAAUGGUAAAAUGAAUUUACUAUUGAUGGACAGAUCUGGAAACCUUUAGGAAAAUGCACACCGAUGCUAGUUCACCACACACACAUACAUACAUACAUACAUACAUACAUACAUACAUACAUACCACACGAUAGAAAACAUCUCACCUUGACAAGGUAGCAUAAUUUCAUUCUGAAAAAAAUUAAAAUGGAAUCUCCAGGCUUUCCUAUUGUAGCUGAGGAUGAUCUUUGAACUCUUGAUACUCCUGCCUACACUUCCAAAACACUAGGAUAUGCUACUAUACCCAGUUUUUGUUCAGUGCUGGGGGUUGAAUUUAGAGCUCCCUGCCUUUAGGGACUCUGCCAGCAAAUAAUUUGCUGAUGAUAUAUGCAUGUAUGUAAGAUGAAUAAUCAUUGAGGGUUAUUAAAUAAAACUGUCAAUAAAAGCAAAUUUCUAGAGCUUUAAGUUAGUAUAUAUUUGCAACAUAGUAAAAUAAAUGUAUAAACUUACAGGAUGGAGAAAAACAGAAGUCUAAUAUAUAACAUAAAUGUAUGCAUCAUUAAAUUUAUAGUAUAGAAGAAAUGUUUUAAAGAUUUUUUAAAAAAAGAAAAAAUUGGAACUCAACCACACCUUUCAUCUGAAAUAUACAUUGACGCCACAAUGAGAUGUUAUGCCACACCCUUGUUUUGUUACAGGAAUUGACCCUAGGGACCACUAAGUACUAUACCACUGAGCCACAGCCCCAACUUUU
rnacentral:lncRNA from 1 species